CUUACCUUGAAGGACUCACCAGAAUCCAGAGCCAGGUAUAUCUGCUGUGCUCUCCUCCUGACCUGGUCCAAGUCCAUUCCUUCCUGAGACACUCUCGCAGGGAAAUGAUGAAAAGUUUAACAUGGAAAGAACAUGCCCGUAGCUGUGAGGGACAGCUAUAUUUUUAAAGCAACGAGCUCACCACAUAUUCCAUUUUCUCUCACUUAAUCACACAACUUUUAAAAUGAUAAUUUUUUUUUUUUUCUAAACACAUCCAUUCUGGACUAGUUUCACCACCCUCAUUCGACAAAAUGCACGCUAAUUUUAAUGGAUGUUUUUCUUGAGUAAGAACGAAUACCACCUUUGGUUUCUGAGCCUUCUUUACAACAGAUUUGGCGAAAGUCAAAAUAAACAACAUCCAGCAAUUCACCUUUAGGUAGUGCAAAAACAGUCCCCAGAGUGACAGCUUUCAGUUCAUCUCCAGUGAGAGCUGUAUAAGCCGUAAGCUCUUCUAUAAACACAGCAAUGAAUAACGAUCAGUCUCUUACUCCUCUCAGUCUCUCGUGUGACAGACCCUUAAUUAUGGCUAUUAGAUUAUUAUUUUCUCCAGAGAAUCCUAUAAGGCAAAAGCAGUGUUCUUCUCUGGACAUCAAAGACAGAAUUAAGACACUGCUUAGGAAAGCUCCUCAGAAACAGCAGCUGUUCAUCCCCACUAAGGAAUGCCCUAUUUGAGACAGAGCGCGCAGCUGCAGCUUCACUGCCUGCUCUGUAUGAGGCACCCUGCAAAAACUGAUGCUCCGCUUUGAAGGGAAAGAUGCCCACCUAAAACACAGGGCAGCCCACCUCCUGCUAAGCUCUGAAAAACUAUUCAGAUUUCUGUUACCUUAGACCUCUGUAUCCUACAAAGAUCACCCAUUCUCAAUAAGUCCUGGACCAGUGAGGCUUGCAACACAACAGUACAAAAGCAGUAGCACAAAUUAUGACUGUGUAACAGAAAAGUGAACUAGAAUCCACCCACCUAAGGCACUGUACCACCAGCAUCUGUUACUGCACAUAUCUUUUUAUGUGUAACAUUUAUUGGCAUCCUUCGGGGAUAACUCUGCAUGCUCCUACAGUCAACUAGGAAGAAUGUCUGUCCCCCAAGAGAGAACAACAGGCCAGAAUCAAGACUCAGGCUGACUCCAAGCAACAAAUGAUUCCCGAACACUUUAUACAUAGGUAACACGAAUCAAUUCUUAAAUAGUCAUUACUAGAAAACUAAUGUAACUGCCUCUCAAGAGAAUUACUGCUUAAUACUAUUAUCUUCUGUGGGCAUGUAAAGCAAGAUAAGUAUAUAGAGCAGGUGAGAAUAUAUAUAUUAUGAUAACUUAUGUGGUUUAGGCUUGUUUUGGAAUACUGUAGCAACUUAUUGCUAGCCAACAUCUUACAUCAGUAAGAAUGUAAAAAGUAAUGUCUGGCAAUUUAUGAGUUCUUAAUAAAGCACAGUGUUUAGAAGAUUAACUGUUGAAGCUGUUCUUGAUUUUGAUUCAGCUGAUUUUUGUCUGGGCUCAGCACUAUGGCUUAUCCCUGUUUCCCUGGCUCCUUCAGGGUCUGACAGUUCCAAAUUCUUACUUGAUUGGACUUAAAAAAUAAAUAAAUAAAAAUUAGGAACUGCUUAAGCAGCACUGCCCCUAUCCGUCCCCAGCCCGUGUGUGAAAUUAGCAUUGGUUCAAAACACUGGAAAUUCACACAUGCACACUUAAAGCACAGGUUCCAGGAUGGACAUUGCACCACCUGUGAAUUCCCCAACCUAAAUGCAUACCGUCACUCACUUAAGUGAAACCCAAGUAGCCUGUAUGUGCCAAGCAGGUGAAGUAUUUUCAUAUAAACACGUUUGUAGAGGUAGGUUCUUUCAGAGUUUCACAGACACGUGGUUACCAAGCACAAGAUAAGUAAAUUUAAAACAACUCUGCCAAAAAUUAAACUGGUUCCACACCUAUAAUAAUUACUUUGAUGCUUCUGAGGCAUGACUGCAUUUGAAGCAGAAUAUAUUAUACCACACAUCACAGUUGUCCAGAGCUGUCAUAAGCCAUUAAGAUAUACAAAGUCACGAUCCUCAGUUACACCCUUAGACAAUGGGUAACACUUCUUUGUGAAUGCUUCUCUGUCCAAGUAUCUCUUGCUUGCAUGCAUCAGAUGCUCUGUGAGAUACAUCCCUCAGCUGUGGCAGCUCAGCACCUUUCCACCAAUUUAAGUCAGCUGAUUGGGAUUGCUAAAGAUAGCUCUCAUGUCAUUCUGAGCUCUCAAAAGUGUUCUGAAAUGGGACAUUUAAACUAUUUACCACAAUUCUCAUUGCAGUUUAAAAGCUGCACAAUGUUUUUGAAGCUUUGUGAUUCCAGAAAUCCAGUGUCUAAAUGAAGGUCUGCUGGGAAAAAAAAAAAUAGCUGAUUUGUCACAAAAAAAAAUCAAUCUUCCACUGCCCAAUUCCGUUCUUAAUGAAUGAGACAAUUCAGAAACCUAUGGGAACAUGCUUUAUUGAUUCAUUCACAAGUCACUCAAACCCACUGCCUCGGUUCCCUCCGAUAAGACAAACCGCACAGCGCUCCUGGUGUACUGAAUUGCAGGAAAAGCCAAUGACUCCACAGCUGUUCUGCUGGAAGUCCAGUGAGACUAAACACAGCCAAUAAAUCUAAACGCAGCACACCACUAGGUUAAUGAUAAAUGUGUGUAGAAGACAAAGAGACUUGCAUUUCCUCUUUAUUAUCCCUUCAGUUGAGCCACUGCCUUAUCUGUAAUUUAUUUACCCAGGACAGUUGGGCCCAGAUGCGUACCUGUUUUUCCACUGAAGUACUUGUUUUUCUCCAUUUUGCAGAUGGAUUAAAUAAGCCAGGAGGAGGCCAACCUACAUGUGUGAGGUCACACAGAGAACUGUAAUCUACACUGCAGUAGAUGCCUGAAUCCAUUCAAGUUCAAGACCUAAUUUGGCAUAAAGCUAGUGUGUAGCUGUACUGCACUGUAUAUUUUAUAAACAUAUCUUUCAAUAAUCUCCUGUGCUUCUCAUGAAAGCAAUAACAAGCAGUAAGAACAGCUGAGUCUGUAUUGGGCAAGCUUUCCUAUUAAAUUCCAGCAAUACAUCUCAGCUGUGACCUGUAGCAAUUUGGGUAACCUAAUAAGGCUGACUGUCCCAUAAGAACCAGGGAUGAUACGCUGUCUACCCGCAAGAUAUGAGGAAGUACAAGAGAGCAACUUUACAUGUGGCACGAUUUGAGUUCCAAAUCCCCCAAGAGUUCUGUGACCAACCUCCUGUGAGUUUCUGGGAUGUAAAGGUCAGAGCUGAAGACGGCAUGGACAGAGUGUACAGAAGAAAAGUCUCAGAACCUCUUGCUUCAAAUCCAUCACUUUCAGAGAGAAAAAACAGACAGCAAAGCACUCCUCUUUUAGAGGCAAAUCAGCCAUGGUGGGAAGCUCUCAAACAACUGAGAACAACUGAAAACGGGCACUCCUGAAAUCAAGGAGAGAGGAUGGCUUUCCCAGAGAACUUCUGCACGGAGAUCUGGCUUCUGAAUUUCUUGGAUUCCUUAAAUGAAAAUCUUACACUGGGAAUUCCAAACAAUACAGCCUGUAACGUUUGGCUAGCAUACAGCACUCAGUGCAACCCCCCGGGCCGUGUUCCUGGACUCGUCCCAUCCCCACACUACAAAGAUGUCUUUCCUCAGCCAGCUCUGCUGCCAGCCAAGUUCCUGACAAGGUGUUGGUGCUCUGGUCUGAACAUUGGUUAAUCUUCCCCAUGCUGGCUGGCUCCGUUGUUCUUAAAGAAGCACCAUCCAACCUCAAUCCCAGUGUUCCUUAACUGCUUCAUUCCCUUUCACAUUUUAUAUUUUUUAUAAUCAGUUCUUAGGAACAACUGUAAUACUACUAGCUAGUGGAACAGGUGUCGUUACUAAUAAAGCCUGUAAGAAGGAAAACCAGUGUCCCACCAAACAUAUGUAGAGGAUGCACCUUCCAACAUUAAAGCUCUGAUUUGCAACCUGAACGAAUUCUCUACUGCUUUUGUACAACGUGCUUAAGUUUUACCUUAUUUGUUGUUGUUG
rnacentral:lncRNA from 1 species